AUGAACGCUGGCGGCGUGCCUAACACAUGCAAGUCGAACGGAGCUGCUUUGAUGAAGUUUUCGGAUGGAUUUAAAGCAGCUUAGUGGCGGACGGGUGAGUAACGCGUGGGUAACCUGCCUCACACUGGGGGAUAACAGUUAGAAAUAGCUGCUAAUACCGCAUAAGCGCACAGUUCCGCAUGGAACAGUGUGAAAAACUCCGGUGGUGUGAGAUGGACCCGCGUCUGAUUAGCCAGUUGGCGGGGUAACGGCCCACCAAAGCGACGAUCAGUAGCCGGCCUGAGAGGGUGAACGGCCACAUUGGGACUGAGACACGGCCCAAACUCCUACGGGAGGCAGCAGUGGGGAAUAUUGCACAAUGGGGGAAACCCUGAUGCAGCGACGCCGCGUGAGUGAAGAAGUAUUUCGGUAUGUAAAGCUCUAUCAGCAGGGAAGAAAGUGACGGUACCUGAAUAAGAAGCCCCGGCUAACUACGUGCCAGCAGCCGCGGUAAUACGUAGGGGGCAAGCGUUAUCCGGAUUUACUGGGUGUAAAGGGAGCGUAGACGGCAAGGCAAGUCUGAAGUGAAAGCCCGGUGCUUAACGCCGGGACUGCUUUGGAAACUGUUUAGCUGGAGUGCCGGAGAGGUAAGCGGAAUUCCUAGUGUAGCGGUGAAAUGCGUAGAUAUUAGGAAGAACACCAGUGGCGAAGGCGGCUUACUGGACGGUAACUGACGUUGAGGCUCGAAAGCGUGGGGAGCAAACAGGAUUAGAUACCCUGGUAGUCCACGCCGUAAACGAUGAUUGCUAGGUGUAGGUGGGUAUGGACCCAUCGGUGCCGCAGCUAACGCAAUAAGCAAUCCACCUGGGGAGUACGUUCGCAAGAAUGAAACUCAAAGGAAUUGACGGGGACCCGCACAAGCGGUGGAGCAUGUGGUUUAAUUCGAAGCAACGCGAAGAACCUUACCAGGUCUUGACAUCGAUCUAAAGGCUCCAGAGAUGGAGAGAUAGCUAUAGAGAAGACAGGUGGUGCAUGGUUGUCGUCAGCUCGUGUCGUGAGAUGUUGGGUUAAGUCCCGCAACGAGCGCAACCCUUAUUCUUAGUAGCCAGCAGGGAAGGCUGGGCACUCUAAGGAGACUGCCGGGGAUAACCCGGAGGAAGGUGGGGAUGACGUCAAAUCAUCAUGCCCCUUAUGAUCUGGGCUACACACGUGCUACAAUGGCGUAACAAAGGGAAGCGAGCCUGCGAGGGUGAGCAAAUCCCAAAAAUAACGUCCCAGUUCGGACUGUAGUCUGCAACCCGACUACACGAAGCUGGAAUCGCUAGUAAUCGCGAAUCAGAAUGUCGCGGUGAAUACGUUCCCGGGUCUUGUACACACCGCCCGUCACACCAUGGGAGUCGGAAAUGCCCGAAGUCUGUGACUCAACCGCAAGGAGAGAGCAGCCGAAGGCAGGUCUGAUAACUGGGGUG
rnacentral:rRNA from 1 species